AGUGGUUGAAGGAAUGCCGAGCAGCAUUUGAAGAGCCCAAGCGAUACCUCGAAUCACCCAUGCUAUUCUCCAAACUGACAGCAAGUGAAGACUUAUAUCUAUAUUUAUCGGUCUCACCUAUUGUCAUUAGCUUGAUGCUCACCUGAAAGGAUGUAGGGAACCAAAGGCCAAUCUACUAUACCGAUAAAAUACUUUAAGACAUCAAAACAAGAUGCUUGA
rnacentral:lncRNA from 1 species